CUCCGACUCACUGCAAUCCUACCUGUUUGCUCUGCAUCGCUCCCGUUCCCCUGGAGCCUGGGUUCUAAACAUAGAUUGCAUAUUUUAUUAAGCCUGUGUUUGCUUUAUAACUUUGGUGAAAAGCUGUAGGCAGCAGCAAAAUGAUCUGUCAAAGGAAUUUAAAAGCACAUUUCUUUAAGCACAGAUGGUCCCCGACUUAUGAUGAUCCAACUUACAAUUUUUCAACUUUGCAAUGGGUUUAUUGGGUGGUGACCCCACUGUAAGUUGUGGGGUGUCUACACACUGGCAUUGAUUCACAUCCUGGGACAAAGGAAGAGGGACCCCCAGAAGGGAAAACUGAUUGUGACCUAUGGGUGGUAGAACUUAACAUCACAUUUGCUGUAUGAAUUGAAGGUACUGCUGGUCACCACAAGUGUCAUGGAUUGUUUCAUUCACACCCAACACCUCUGCUAGUGAGGUGCAGAAAAUACAAUGCUAAGAUUGAAGCAGGGUUUUCUUUUUGCAGACUGCCAUUUGUGUUUGUCUGUGGACAGCUGUGUUCAGUACUCACACUGAGUCCUUCCAAGGCUUACAAGCUGGUCCACUUGGACCUUGCAAUUAACAGAGGUGUGAGGAAGGGAACAUUGUGUUUGUCAUGGAUCAAUGAUUCCCUGUGUCUCUCCGCCCAGUCCCCCUUCCCCCAUUUUUUUCCUUUUUGUAGAACUUAUGCCCCAUUUUUAUUAUGUAACUCAACAGAAUGACUCAAAGGGUGAUAUUUCAGGCAGCAGAAUGAGCUGGGGUGGGGGUUUGGGAUCGGUGAGGCAAACAGAAAAGUGUGUGGAGAGAGAUCUUAUCGGGCAGAGAAUUUGGGCUCCCUUCAUGAAUCACUCUGUGCAAACAGCCAGCCAUUGGGCCUGCAUGUGGGCUGGGUCUUGAUUCUAUUGAAUCAACUGUGACUAAAAGAUACGGUAGUUCUAAUUUCCUGUGACUCAUGAAAGAGCCUUAUUGGGCAGGAUUUGUUCUAGGCCCCAAUCUUUUAGCUGAAACACUUCAACUUUGCUCAUGGAAGAGGGGACUUGGGCCGCCAGACAGCUCUUUUCAGUCACACCUCAUCGUGAGGUUGCAUUUUAGAAAACAUGGGCUCAGAUUCAUCUUUGCUGGAUCCAAAUUGGCUGAGUUAGCCUACUGAUUUCAACCCCCUGAAUGAGCUCAACAAAUAUUUCUGAAGUAGAUGCUGAAGUCACACAAGAGUGGAGAAGGUGCUUGUCAAAGUCUUUGCCUUUCUCAACUCCAGGGAGAGGAACUACCUGGGCUUGAGGGUUUGUUUCAGCAAAAAUCUAGAAUAGGCCACAUCAUUUUGCACUUAACCAUGAUGAGGACUUUUAUUGCAUGUAUGAAUGUCCCCAGAGGCUAUUACUCAAAAGGGCUCAGCUAAUAAAUAGGAGAACUAAUAAUUAUCUUUUUUCAGAUUGCUGACUGUGUGCAACUGCCGCAAGGGGUCAAAAGUGCUUGGUUUGCACAACAUCUCCCCGGCAUUCUUACACGUGUGGUUAUGGAAUCAGGGUGCAGGGAAGGGUCAUGGAGCAGAGGGAAUUGCAUGUGCUCGAUCUUUUUCACAUUGGAGCUGCUUUCUGAAACCCGGCACGGGGAAGGUGAGGGUGCUGGAUAGUUUGGGGGGGCCACAGAGUCCUGUGGGUGUUAAAUCUCGGUCCCCCUCUGGGGACUUGUCCUUGCAGGGUGCUCAUCCAGGCCUUAAAAGUUGGCAGCAUCCCCCAGGAACUACCCUGUGAACAAAUCCAGGCUUUCGGAAGCACGUGAUUCUGCAGAAAUGCCACAUUCUCUUCCACAUGGGCUGUGGGCUCUGAGUCCCCCUUUGCUUCCUCGGCCUAUGUACCUGCUGAAGAAGACAUGUGUCGUGUACAUGCAACCUAAGGAGGUAACCUUUUACCCAGCCUGAGACUUCAGAGGGUAUUCAUAUUGGGGACCAGCAGCCCGUGAUGUUUGUCCCCCAGAGAGGGGGAGAGAGCUGCUGCCUGCAGAGUGGCUGCUCCUGCUUUGCACGGCCCCUGGCUUCUGCAUCCCUCCAUCCUCCAGCUGGGCACAGAGGUUGCCAAAAGGGCCAGUAGGAGGAGAAGGCUUCAUGGAGGACGGGGGCAAGAGCGGGCCGACCAUGCUGGCUUCCUCGCCUUGUGUCUGGCUGACUGCACAGGCCUGAGGAGGUAACCAACAGCAGAAACAGCUCUGGACAAAUGAGCAAAGGAAGACUCGACUGAGUUUCCCCAGAAUGGAGAGGAGCUGAGGAAGCUCCAGGGCCCACAGCGGAAGCUGGUGGACCAUUUCACUAGGACCCUGGGAGCAAAUCAGUCUGACUUGUGUUUGGCCCCUGAAUCCCCCUGCUCAAGGCUCAGAGUCCUGGAGAAUUGAGGGCAACCCCCACAUUGCAUGCCAUGGAUGGUGGCUUCCCCAGGGGAGUCGGGGUGCUAGGACUAGAGCAUGCCUCCUACAAAUGUUGACUUCCCCAGAAAAAUACCAGCUCUCUUAAGUAAGGGUGGGUCUAUCUGUGGGGAUGAUAGGGUCACCCUUAUUAUUCAUACGUUCCCUGGGCCUGAGAACUUACCUGGAAUACACUUUGUUAAAUAGUAAUAUUUAUUCUUAUUUGAGUUAUUUUUUUCAGGGCUUUUCUCUAGUUGCUGUAUUUAUCUUCUUUCAGUGUUUCCACAUUUAGCAUUAGUAUUCUCAUGUUAUAUUUGUAUGAACACAUAUACAUUUGUUCCCAUGCCUUGAGGCCCUUGGUGCUAAUUACAUUGAUAUUUUUAUGCUUUAUUUUUCUUUAUUUUUUUAGAGGCAGGAGUUUUUUCUCUGUCACCCAGGCUGGAGUGCAGUGGUACCACCAUAGCUCACUGCAUCUUGAACUCCUAGGCUCAAACGAUCCUCCCACCUCAG
rnacentral:lncRNA from 1 species